UCCUUGGUAGCUCGGACGGUAAAGCGUCUGCCUACAAUGCAGGUGACCUAGGUUCGAUCCCUGGGUCAGGAA
rfam:TPA: Bos taurus chromosome 6, whole genome shotgun sequence.